CAUAGACUCUAAGGAAUGGGACUGGUGAAUUCUCCUUUCAGCCCGAGGCACAGAAGUCCAGAGGCGGAAGACAAUAAGUAAAAUUUGUCUUCCUCUGUAACUAAUUUUGCCAUCAACCCAACUUGUGUUUGGACACUGCUUUUAUGUGAUAAUCAGAUGGGGCCUGAUCCUGUACCUCUGACGUCAAUGGGAGUUUUAUUAUGGACAUCAUUAGGAACAGGAUCAUGCACUAACUGAAAGCAAAUACUUUACACUUUUCAUCUGCUCCAAUCAUUUGCUCUUCCCUGGAAUGAUCUAGCCACAGAGGCAUUUAGCAUUAGAGAAAAGAAAUUGGAAAGACUGCUUUACAGUGUUUGUCUUACAUCACUAAAUAUUUCACAUAAUGGAUAUUUGGAAGCUUAGAUGACAACCAACCAUAAAACUUCAUGGGGAGUCUACUGGUAUAUUAUAUCACAUUCUAUGGCUACAUCAUCAUCUUUUUUUUUUAAAUUUAACUUUCAAUAGCAUAUGAAACAACAAAAUUGCCUGGAACAAGAGCUUUAGUUUGAUUUUUGGAUUCACUUUGUUCUAUAACAUGUUUUUAACCUAGUUGUGUAGUUAAAAGGUUUAAAUAUAGUUUGCUACAUUUUGAUUUGUGGCCAAAAUGUUUCGACUAGCUCCUAAAG